rnacentral:rRNA from 1 species
GAGUUUGAUCCUGGCUCAGAGCGAACGCUGGCGGCAGGCCUAACACAUGCAAGUCGAACGAACUCUUCGGAGUUAGUGGCGGACGGGUGAGUAACACGUGGGAACGUGCCUUUUGGUUCGGAAUAACUCAGGGAAACUUGUGCUAAUACCGAAUGUGCCCUUCGGGGAAGAUUAUCGCCAUUAGAGCGGCCGCGUCUGAUUAGCUAGUUGGUGAGGUAAAGGCUCACCAAGGCGACGAUCAGUAGCUGGUCUGAGAGGAUGAUCAGCCACAUUGGGACUGAGACACGGCCAAACUCCUACGGGAGGCAGCAGUGGGGAAUCUUGCGCAAUGGGCGAAAGCCUGACGCAGCCAUGCCGCGUGAAUGAUGAAGGUCUUAGGAUUGUAAAAAUUCUUUCACCGGGGACGAUAAAUGACGGUACCCCGGAGAAGAAGCCCCGGCUAACUUCGUGCCAGCCGCCGCCGUAAU